AUACGGAGGGUGCAAGCGUUAAUCGGAAUUACUGGGCGUAAAGCGCGCGUAGGCGGCUGAUUAAGUCGGAUGUGAAAUCCCUGGGCUCAACCUAGGAACUGCAUCCGAUACUGGUCAGCUAGAGUUUUGGAGAGGUAAGUGGAAUUUCCGGUGUAGCGGUGAAAUGCAUAGAGAUCGGAAGGAACACCAGUGGCGAAGGCGACUUACUGGCCAAAAACUGACGCUGAGGUGCGAAAGCGUGGGUAGCGAACAGGAUUAGAAACCCGAGUAGUCC
rnacentral:rRNA from 1 species